rnacentral:rRNA from 1 species
UACGGAGGGAGCUAGCGUUGUUCGGAUAUACUGGGCGUAAAGCGCACGUAGGCGGCGUCGUAAGUCAGGGGUGAAAUCCCGGAGCUCAACUCCGGAACUGCCCUUGAAACUGCAAUGCUAGAAUCUUGGAGAGGCGAGUGGAAUUCCGAGUGUAGAGGUGAAAUUCGUAGAUAUUCGGAAGAACACCAGUGGCGAAGGCGACUCGCUGGACAAGUAUUGACGCUGAGGUGCGAAAGCUAGGGGAGCAAACGGG